rnacentral:lncRNA from 1 species
CCUUAAAGUGUAUUAUUUCGAAAUUGUCGGAACGUUAACCCGUCACCGUUCGAUCAAGGUCGAACUCUUCUUCUUUGGCCAAGGACCUUGGCCUUAAAGGGUUUUAUUUCAAACUUAUCAAAAUGUUAACCCAUCGUCGUUCGAUCAAGGUGGAACUCUUCUUCAUUGGCGAAGGCCCUUGGCCUUAAAGGGUGUUAUUUUGAACUUAUUGAAAUAUUAACCCGUCAUCGUUCGAUCAAGGUCGAACUCUUCUUUAUUGGCCAUGGCCCUUGGCCUUAAAGGGUGUUAUUUCGAACUUGUUGAAAUAUUAACCCGUCGUCGUUCGAUCAAGGUGGAACUCUUCUUAUUUGGCGAAGGCCAUGGCCAUAACG